UGAGUAUGAAAAGCAAUCGCCAGUAUGUGAAUAUUGGAGGAAAGUCCGAGCUCCAUAGGGCAGGAUGCCGGAUAACGUCCGGCGAAGGCAACUUUAGGGAUAGUGCCACAGAAAUGUGUACCGCCACGUAUGUGGUAAGGGUGGAACGGUGCGGUAAGAGCGUACCAGCGGUAAGGUAACUUGCCGGCUAGGCAAACCCCAUCUGGAGCAAGACCGAAUAGGGAAGGGAUGAAGCGGCCCGCUGAUCUUCCGGGUUGUGUCGCUUGAGCGUAACAGUAAUGUUACGCCUAGACAGAUGAUUGCUGCUGCGCAAGCAGAACAAAACUCGGCUUACUGAUUACUCAUCUG
rnacentral:RNase_P_RNA from 1 species